rnacentral:rRNA from 1 species
CCUACGGGAGGCAGCCGUGGGGGAUAUUGCACAAUGGGGGAAACCCUGAUGCAGCGACGCCGCGUGGGCGAAGAAGUAUUUCGGUAUGUAAAGCCCUAUCAGCAGGGAAGACGAAAUGACGGUACCUGAGUAAGCAGCACCGGCUAAAUACGUGCCAGCAGCCGCGGUAAUACGUAUGGUGCAAGCGUUAUCCGGAUUUACUGGGUGUAAAGGGAGCGCAGGCGGCACGGCAAGCCUGAUGUGAAAGCCCGGGGCGCAACCGCGGGACUGCAUUGGGAACUAGCGGGCUGGAGUGCCGGAGAGGUAGGCGGAAUUCCUAGUGUAGCGGGGAAAUGCGUAGAUAUUAGGAGGAACACCAGUGGCGAAGGCGGCCUACUGGACGGUGACUGACGCUGAGGCUCGAAAGCGUGGGGAGCAAACAGGAUUAGAUACCCUAGUAGUC